AGUGGCGGACGGGUGAGUAACGCGUGGAUAACCUGCCUCAUACAGGGGGAUAACAGUUGGAAACGGCUGUUAAUACCGCAUAAGCGCACGAAACUGCAUGGUUUUGUGUGAAAAACUCCGGUGGUAUGAGAUGGGUCCGCGUCUGAUUAGCUAGUUGGCAGGGUAACGGCCUACCAAGGCGACGAUCAGUAGCCGGCCUGAGAGGGUGUACGGCCACAUUGGGACUGAGACACGGCCCAAACUCCUACGGGAGGCAGCAGUGGGGAAUAUUGCACAAUGGGGGAAACCCUGAUGCAGCGACGCCGCGUGGGUGAAGAAGUAUUUCGGUAUGUAAAGCCCUAUCAGCAGGGAAGAAAAUGACGGUACCUGACUGAGAAGCCCCGGCUAACUACGUGCCAGCAGCCGCGGUAAUACAUAGGGGGCAAGCGUUAUCCGGAAUUACUGGGUGUAAAGGGAGCGUAGACGGUAAUGCAAGUCUGGAGUGAAAGGCGGGGGCCCAACCCCCGGACUGCUCUGGAAACUGUGUAACUGGAGUGCAGGAGAGGCAGGCGGAAUUCCUAGUGUAGCGGUGAAAUGCGUAGAUAUUAGGAGGAACACCAGUGGCGAAGGCGGCCUGCUGGACUGUAACUGACGUUGAGGCUCGAAAGCGUGGGGAGCAAACAGGAUUAGAUACCCUGGUAGUCCACGCCGUANACGAUGAUUACUAGGUGUGGGUGGGUNUGGACCCAUCGGUGCCGCAGCAAACGCAGUAAGUAAUCCACCUGGGGAGUACGUUCGCAAGAAUGAAACUCAAA
rnacentral:rRNA from 1 species